rnacentral:lncRNA from 1 species
ACUGUGGAAGCUUUUUUGUCAGAUACGGUUAUCUUUGGGGUUAAUUAUUAUAGCAGUUGAGUUUUAACACUUGAUUUGCUUUUAAAUCUGAAGCAUUAUAUUACUAAAACAUUUUUUGAUUUGUGAAUAUGUUGUUUAAUGGAUUAUAUCUCAUUUUGCAGUAGUAGUUGCAGUGCCUGAAAGAUUGCCAAAAAAAAUAGUGCUAGCUUUUGCUGAAAAAUGUAACAAUCAACUUACCAAUACUGCCUUCUCUUCCGAUAGCUAUGUUCUCCGUAAUAUUUUAAGAACUCAGUUUUUCAUAAGACUUGUGUUGUUUUUGAUUUUUUCCCAAGUCUGGUUGAUCCUUGUGUUGUUCUUUUUUAAAUGUGUAUUGUCUGUUCAGCUAUUCUGCAGGAGUUGCAUUCUUAAAAACCUUAACCAUAUCAAAAAUUGUGUUUAAAGGAGGAUUAUUGAGAUUGGCAAGCUUUUACUAGGAGGAGUUUAAAUGCUGACGUAUUUAGGAAACUCUAAAUACUGAGCAACUUUAUUCUAACUACAAAAUAGAUAGCCUUUCUUUUGUUUUUCACUUUCACUAUCAUUAGCACUGUGUUAAUAUCUUUUCUUCAUCUAUAACACAAUUAUAACGAUAUAUAAAGCCACUCAAAUAAAGCAGAUAUAUUGUGCUUAAAAAAAAAAAGAAAAAAAAAGAAGUCAUUAUGUGGCACACAAUGAGGUGUGACUUGAAUCUAGAAUCUCCAGUGAAAACCAAUGAAACAGGGUCAAACCCUGUGUCUACUAAAAAUAAAAAAAUGAGCCAGGCGUGGUGGCGCUGAGACAGGAGAAUCACUGGAACUCAGGAGGCAGAGGUUGCAGUGAGCUGAGAUCAUGCCACUGCACUCCAGCUGGGGUGGGGGACAGAGCAAGACUCAAUCUCAGAAACAAACACACGAAGCCAAUAAAGUUGUUUCACUCAACGUGUCAGGCUCAGGUCUCUUGACAGGAUACAUCCGGCAUCCGGGGAAACGUCGAGGGGUGGGGUGGAAUCUAUUUUGUGGCCUCAAGGGAGGUUUUGAGAGAUAGUCUUGCAAACGUGAUGGCCUAAGGAAGCCCCUCUGCCCAAGAAGCCAUAUUCAUUUGUAUCCUGUAGCCACCCACGAGGGAGAAUCCGGCUCUCUACAGACACCCCAACCCCCACCCCACCCCACCCCCUGCCUCGUGAAAUGAGCUCUCGCUCCAUCAGGCUCUAUUCACACCGUCUGGUUUUGUAACCUCCAGCGUGUGUGCAUGGGUUGCGGGGUGGGGUGGGGGCGGCUGUGGACAGAGAAGGGGAUAAAGCGGCGGUGUCCCAUGGGUGCCCGGGACGUGGGACAUGAGUAGAGUGGCCAGAGCCUAGUUAACUCAUCGCCUGUCAGGACGUCUCCCCUCCUGGUCCCCUCUCUGACCUACGCUCCACAUCUUAGCAGUUCAGUGGGGACCUUGUGGGUGGAAGUUGCCAACCCUUUGUACUUUAGCCGACGAAGACUGGGCUCCCAAGAGUCUCCCCGGAGUCGGGGCCUUGGGCAGGUUCACAAGGAUCCUGAUGGCGACGGUUGGUGAUGGUGAUGUAAGUUGGAAGCCUCGGACCAAAUCAGAGGUAUCCAUUUGACCUCGGUGGGACAGGUCAGCUUUGCGGAGUUCCGUGCGUCCUUCCAGAGAUUCAUCCAGCGCUAGCAAGCAUGGUCCCGAGGAUCCCAGCUCCCAGCAGAGGCAAUUUUGUUCACACAGAAUCCUGGGCAGGAAAGUUCUCAGCAGAUUUAGGCCUCCUAGCCAAAAAGUCAAAGCCACUUCUGGGAUUUUUUUUCAAAGAGCCAAUGGUUCCACAAUGGGCCAUGGGUAGUUGUGGAAAUGGAGAGACGUGUUUGCAGAUACAUAUUUGAGACAGAACGGACAGGGCUCGGUCACAGUUCAUGUAGGACACGAGCAGAUGCACAUUGAGAAAACCUUCCCAGCAUCCUAGGUGAACAGAGGUAUGAUUUUUUGAGACAGUCGAGGGAGACGCAACCCCAGAUUUUAGGGUUGGAUCUUUAUUAAUAUGUAGUAUCUAUGAGGAAUCCAAGUCCAGAAAUCAACUCGCCAGUUCUGUACAGCAUUCUGUAGGGAGAUCAAAUCUGGGAUGUCUAAAGUUAAGAAUUCAGGCCGUGGUAAUGGAUUAGAUUAGACGUACUUGAACUUAUUUUGCAAAGAAAGAGAGGGUGGGAGAUAGCGAGAGCCAGAGAGAAGGCGAGAGAGAGAGAGAGAGAGAGAGAGAGAGAGACAAAGACAGAGACAGAGAGAGACAGACAGAGAGACACAAAGAUACACAAAGAGAGAAAGACAGAAAGAGAGAGAGAGACAGACAGAUAAAGACACAGACAGAGAAAGACAGAGAUGGACAGAGACAGAGAGAAACAGAAAGAGAGACAGACAGAGACAGACAGGCAGACAGUCAGAGAAAGAGAGUAAGACAGAAGGCAGACACACACACACACACAGAGAGACAGAUGGACAGACAGAGAGAAAGAGAGAGACAGAGAGAGAGACAGACAGAGAGAAAGAGACAGAGAGAGAAAGAGACAGAGAUAGACAGACAGAAACAGAGACAGAGAGAGAGAGAGAAACAGACAAGGAGAGAGAGAGACAGACAGGCAGAGAAAGACAGUAAGACAGAAGACAGACACAGAGAGAGACAGAGUAAGACAGAAGACAGACACAGUGAGAGAGACAGAGACAGAGAGAAAGAAAGAGAGAGAUGGAGAAAAAGACAGAGACGGACAGAGAGAAAUAGCGAGAGAGAGAGAGAGAGCGAGAGAGACAGAGUGAGAGAAACAGACAGGGAGGGAGAGAGACAGAUAGAGAGAGAGAGACAGACAGGCAGAGAAAGAGAGUAAGACAGAAGAUAGACAGACACAGUGAGAGAGACAGGCAGAGAGAGACAGACAGAGGUAGAGAGAAAGAAAGAGAGACAGACAUGGAGAGAGAGAGACAGAGAGAAACAGACAGAAAGAGAGACAGACAGAGAGUGAGAGAGAGAGAGAGACAGAAAGAGAGGGAGAGGGACAGACAGAGAGAGACAGACGGGUAGAGAAAGAGAGUAAGACAGAAAUAGGCACAGACAGAGAGAGACAGCGAGAGAGACAGACAGAGAGACUCAGAAAAAGAAAUAGAGAGACAGAGAAAAACAGAGAGAGACAGAGAGAAACAGAGACAGAGAGAGACAGAGAGAAACAGACAGAAAGAGAGAGACAGAGAGAGAGAAACAGAGAGGGAGGGAGAGAGAGAGAGACAGGCAGAGAAAGAGAGUUAGACAGAAGACAGACACCGUGAGACAGGCAGAGAGAGAGAGAAAGAAAGAGACAGACAGACAGGCAGACAGAGAAAGAGACAGAUAAAGACAGAGAUGGACAGACAGAGACAGAGAGAAACAGACAGAAAGAGAGAAAGUCCUAGCCCAGUAGCGAUACAGUGCCUUCUCUUUCAUUUUAUCUUUCUUUUCUGGUCUUUUCUUUUCUUUUCUUUUCUUUUCUUUUCUUUUCUUUUCUUUUCUUUUUUUUCUUUUUUUUCUUUUUCUUUUCUUUUCUUUUUUCCUUUCUUCUUUUCUUUUCUCUUUCUUUCUUUC